CCUACGGGGGGCAGCAGUGGGGAAUAUUGGACAAUGGGGGGAACCCUGAUCCAGCGACGCCGCGUGAGUGAAGAAGUAUUUCGGUAUGUAAAGCUCUAUCAGCAGGGAAGAAAGAAAUGACGGUACCUGACUAAGAAGCCCCGGCUAACUACGUGCCAGCAGCCGCGGUAAUACGUAGGGGGCAAGCGUUAUCCGGAUUUACUGGGCGUAAAGGGAGCGUAGGCGGUUACGUAAGUCUGAAGUGAAAGACGGGGGCCCAACCUCCGUGCUGCUUUGCAAACUGUAUAACUGGAGUGGAGGAGAGGAGAAUGGAAUUCCUAGUGUAGCGGUGAAAUGCGUAGAUAUUAGGAGGAACACCAGUGGCGAAGGCGGCUUACUGGACUGUAACUGACGUUGAGGCUCGAAAGCGUGGGGAGCAAACAGGAUUAGAUACCCUUGUAGUC
rnacentral:rRNA from 1 species